AGAGUUUGAUUAUGGCUCAGGAUGAACGCUAGCUACAGGCUUACACAUGCAAGGUCGAGGGGCAGCGGGAGAGUAGCUUGCUACUCUUGCCGGCGACCGGCGCACGGGUGAGUAACGCGUAUCCAACUUCCCCCUAGUAGGGGAUAGCCCGGCGAAAGUCGGAUUAAUACCCUAUGUUCUCCUUUGAUGACAUCUGAUAUGGAGCAAAGAUUUAUCGCUAUGGGAUGGGGAUGCGUCUGAUUAGGUAGUAGGCGGGGCAACGGCCCACCUAGCCAUCGAUCAGUAGGGGUUCUGAGAGGAAGGUCCCCCACAUUGGAACUGAGACACGGUCCAAACUCCUACGGGAGGCAGCAGUGAGGAAUAUUGGUCAAUGGGCGUGAGCCUGAACCAAGCCAAGUAGCGUGCGGGAUGACUGCCCUAUGGGUUGUAAACCGCUUUUGUACGGGAAUAAAGUCGGGGACGCGUCCCCGUUUGCAUGUACCGUAAGAAUAAGGACCGGCUAAUUCCGUGCCAGCCGCGGC
rnacentral:rRNA from 1 species